GUCCAACGUUAAUCGGGGCAGGGUGAGUCGACCCCUAAGGCGAGGCCGAAAGGCGUAGUCGAUGGGAAACAGGUUAAUAUUCCUGUACUUGGUGUUACUGCGAAGGGGGGACGGAGAAGGCUAUGUUGGCCGGGCGACGGUUGUCCCGGUUUAAGCGUGUAGGCUGGUUUUCCAGGCAAAUCCGGAAAAUCAAGGCUGAGGCGUGAUGACGAGGCACUACGGUGCUGAAGCAACAAAUGCCCUGCUUCCAGGAAAAGCCUCUAAGCAUCAGGUAACAUCAAAUCGUACCCCAAACCGACACAGGUGGUCAGGUAGAGAAUACCAAGGCGCUUGAGAGAACUCGGGUGAAGGAACUAGGCAAAAUGGUGCCGUAACUUCGGGAGAA
rnacentral:rRNA from 1 species